rnacentral:rRNA from 1 species
GGGUGGUAAUACCGGAUGCUCCGCUCCAUCGCAUGGUGGGGUGGGAAAUGCUUUUGCGGCAUGGGAUGGGGUCGCGUCCUAUCAGCUUGUUGGCGGGGUGAUGGCCCACCAAGGCGUUGACGGGUAGCCGGCCUGAGAGGGUGACCGGCCACAUUGGGACUGAGAUACGGCCCAGACUCCUACGGGAGGCAGCAGUGGGGAAUAUUGCACAAUGGGCGCAAGCCUGAUGCAGCGACGCCGCGUGCGGGAUGGAGGCCUUCGGGUUGUAAACCGCUUUUGUUCAAGGGCAAGGCACGGUUUCGGCCGUGUUGAGUGGAUUGUUCGAAUAAGCACCGGCUAACUACGUGCCAGCAGCCGCGGUAAUACGUAGGGUGCGAGCGUUAUCCGGAUUUAUUGGGCGUAAAGGGCUCGUAGGCGGUUCGUCGCGUCCGGUGUGAAAGUCCAUCGCCUAACGGUGGAUCUGCGCCGGGUACGGGCGGGCUGGAGUGCGGUAGGGGAGACUGGAAUUCCCGGUGUAACGGUGGAAUGUGUAGAUA